rnacentral:sRNA from 1 species
AUUUCGGGACGUGUAGUUUUCCCUGGCAGGACAGUAGAAGUCGUGGUUUGUGCGCGGCCACGCGCUGGAGCCUCCGCUGCCGGGAGCAAUCAGACCUUCCAGCUGCCUCUCAUGUACUUGUCUGUUGGGGGCUUGUGUUGAUCAGGAGUGAAUUCACAGUCUACCAUGAAUUGGAAGGUUCUUGAGCACGUGCCCCUGCUGCUGUAUAUCUUGGCAGCAAAAACAUUAAUUCUCUGCCUGACAUUUGCUGGGGUGAAAAUGUACCAAAGAAAAAGGUUGGAGGCAAAACAACAAAAACUGGAGGCUGAAAGGAAGAAGCAAUCAGAGAAAAAAGAUAACUGAAGGUCCUAACUGGGACCACCUACUCCCCUUGGAGGGUCCGGAUGGAGUUUCCCCUCUGCGGCUGCCUCUCACUCAUCCUCCACCGCUUUGCUGACAAGGAAGGAAGGACAAUUGGGAGGAGGGAGUCUUGCUUGGCGACCAUCUGGACAAUAUCUCGCCCAUGGCAAGCUGGAUCCCUGUGGAUUACUUUGAGCUAAAGACAUUUCAUAAAAUGGGCAUGAAGGAUGAAGACGUGGACAAAAUGAUUGGUCAGGUCCUUUGCUCUACUGUUGAAUGGAGGAGGAUUUUUUUUUUCCCUCACACAGGGGUUUUCUUGGAGCUCAAGUUUGGAUGACCCCAGACAGUAAGAUAAUCUCAUCAUGGUAAAGUUAAUAUGAAACAUGUGGUCUCCAAACAGCCUCUCCCAGAGGCCAGGAUCAGCAGGUUUGAGUGGAUAAUUGGCUUGUGGUCAUUUUCUCAUAGGAUUUUUCUUUUAGUAGUGGAAACUGUUUUUCAAAUCAAAUUUGGAUGCCAACUAUGUGGAACAGAAGUGUGACUGCUCUGGUGGAAGUGGCAAUGGUAGUCCUAGAGUCUCCCUGUCAGCCACACCCUUUGUCUCCCCCUACCCAAGGGACCCUGUGGCCUGGAACCGCAGUGUGAAAUGCUAUAUAGUGCAAUGAAGUCAAUUCUAAGACAAGAGUUCUUUGCCUUUCUCAUCUAAUUUUUAGUUAUGGAUAUGAGACGCUUGUUCAGAAGUAUGGAAAAGUAUAUAUAAUAUGUUAUCUUUUAGAUGUGGGCGUAAAUAUGCUUAUGUAUGCAAUGUGCUUAUAUUUUAACGCAUAAACAACAUGAAUAAAGCAAACACUGUAGACUUCUUCAAAUGUA